CCUACGGGAGGCAGCAGUAGGGAAUAUUGCUCAAUGGGGGAAACCCUGAAGCAGCAACGCCGCGUGGAGGAUGAAGGUUUUCGGAUUGUAAACUCCUUUUGUUAGAGAAGAUAAUGACGGUAUCUAACGAAUAAGCCCCGGCUAACUCCGUGCCAGCAGCCGCGGUACUACGGAGGGUGCAAGGGUUACUCGGAAUCACUGGGCGUAAAGAGCGCGUAGGCGGGAUAGCAAGUCAGAUGUGAAAUCCUAUGGCUUAACCAUAGAACUGCAUUUGAAACUGGUAUACUAGAGUGUGGGAGAGGUAGGUGGAAUUCUUGGUGUAGGGGUAAAAUCCGUAGAGAUCUAGAGGAAUA
rnacentral:rRNA from 1 species